CUUGGUCAUUUAGAGGAAGUAAAAGUUGUAACAAGGUUUCCGUAGGUGAACCUGCGGAAGGAUCAUUAACAAAUCCUGCUGCAGUGCCGCAAGGUGCUGUAGUAUAUUAACUCGGCCAGUGUCGCAAGAUGCUGGCUGAUCAUAUAAAUGUGUGUAAUGUUGACAAUGUGUGUGUGAUUAAAUAGUGGACAACUUUUAACAAUGGAUCUCUAGGCUCUUGCAGCGAUGAAGAACGCAGUAAAGUGUGAAAAGUGAUGCGAUUUGCACGAAUCUGUGAGUCAUCUAGUUUUUGAACGCAAAUGGCACUCUUGUGUAAGCAAGAGUAUGUCUGUUUGAGAAUCCCAAAACCGAUCAACACCUGUGGGGGUUGGUACUGGCGGUCCGUGCAGUUGUGCGGUCUGCUUGAAAGCAAUCAGGUUGAUGAGCUUCCAGCUGGGCUCCAAGUGUGCUAAAAGACAGUCGUCUUUCGUCACUUGGGCGCUUAGUUGCAAAGUUCUGUAACACAGCCUUUAAACUUUAUCUAAUAGGAUCUCAAAUCAGGCAAGAUUACCCGCUGAACUUAAGCAUAUCAAUAAGCGGAGGA
rnacentral:rRNA from 1 species